CCGGAGGACCGAACCAGUUGACGUUGAAAAGUCUUUGGAUGACUUGUGGUAAGGGGUGAAAGGCCAACCAAAUUCGUAGAUAGCUGGUUUUCCGCGAAAACUAUUUAGGUAGUGCGUCGAAUAAAUAGAUGUUUAGAGGUAGAGCACUAAAUGGGCUAGGGGGAAGAGAUUCUUACCAAACCUAAUAAAACUCCGAAUGCUAGACAUUGUUCUUCGGCAGACAGACUGUGGGUGCUAAGGUCCAUGGUCGAGAGGGAAAGAGCCCAGACCACCAGAUAAGGUCCCAAAAUCAUGAUUAAGUGUGAAAGGAUGUGGAAAUUCCUUAACAGCCGGGAGGUUGGCUUAGAAGCAGCCAUCCUUUAAAGAUAGCGUAACAGCUCACCGGUCUAAUAGAGUUUCUGCGCCGAAGAUGUAACGGGGCUAAAAUCAUGUACCGAAUCUGUGGCUUUGCAAAGUUUUCGAACUUUGUAAGGGGUAGCGGAACGUUCUGUAAGCCUGCGAAGGGAUACCCGUGAGGGAUCCUGGAGGUAUCAGAAGUGCGAAUGCUGACAUAAGUAACGAUAAACGAAGUGAAAAACUUCGUCGCCGAAAAUCUAAGGGUUUCUAUGCAAGGUUAAUCCGCGUAGAGUUAGUCGGCACCUAAGGCGAGGGCGAAAGCCGUAGUCGAUGGAAACAAGGUUAAUAUUCCUUGACCUGAUGGUAGUGACGGAUUUCGUAAGUUGUGAGUUCUUAAUGGAUUGAACUUGCCGCGAAGAGGUCCCAAGAAAUAGCUCCAUCAUGAAGACCGUACCCGAAACCGACACAGGUAGAUUAAUAGAGUAUAUUUAGGCGCUUGAGAGAAUGAUGUUGAAGGAACUCGGCAAAAUGCUUCCGUAACUUCGGGAUAAGGAAGACCCUUUUGUAGGCAACUAUAGAAGGGUGGCACAAGCCAGGGAGAAGCGACUGUUUAUCAAAAACACAGGGCUCUGCUAACACGUAAGUGGAUGUAUAGGGUCUGACGCCUGCCCGGUGCUGGAAGGUUAAUGCGGUUGGUGCAAGCUAACUUCUGAAGCCCCAGUAAACGGCGGCCGUAACUAUAACGGUCCUAAGGUAGCGAAAUUCCUUGUCGGGUAAGUUCCGACCUGCAUGAAUGGCGUAACGAUUUCUCCGCUGUCUCCAACAUCAACUCAGUGAAAUUGAAUUCUCCGUGAAGAUGCGGAGUUCGCGUAGUUAGACGGAAAGACCCCGUGCACCUUUACUGCAACUUUACAUUGGUGUUAGGAAAAACAUAUUUAGCAUAGGAGGGAGACUUUGAAGCAAAGGCGUCAGCUUUUGUGGAGUCACCAGUGAAAUACCUCUUUUGUUUUUCUUGACAUCUAACCGCUAGCCGUCAUCCGGCAGCGAGACAUUGUAUGGUGGGUAGUUUGACUGGGGCGGUCGCCUCCCAAAUAGUAACGGAGGCGUGCGAAGGUAGGCUCAGAACGGUCAGAAAUCGUUCGUAGAGUGCAAUGGCAUAAGCCUGCCUGACUG
rnacentral:rRNA from 1 species